rnacentral:rRNA from 1 species
CCUACGGGAGGCAGCAGUGGGGAAUAUUGCACAAUGGGGGGAACCCUGAUGCAGCAAUGCCGCGUGAAGGAUGAAGGUUUUCGGAUUGUAAACUUCUUUUGUACGGGACGAAGAAAGUGACGGUACCGUAAGAAUAAGCCACGGAUAACUAUGUGCAAGCAGCGGCGGUAAUACGGAGGUGGCAAGCGUUAUCCGGAUUUACUGGGUGUAAAGGGCGAGUAGGCGGGAUGUUAAGUCAGAUGUGAAAAUUAUCGGCGCAACCGAGAGAGUGCAAUUGAAACUGGAAGCCUUGAGUAAAGGUGAGGGAGGCGGAAGUCGUGGUGGAGCGGUGAAAUGGUGAGAUAUCACGAAGAA